rnacentral:lncRNA from 1 species
GGAAGAUGAGAAAAGAAUGUACAAUUUAUUAUUUUUGUGUUUGAACGGAUGGACCCGUUGCCUACGUACCUUCCAUGAAAGGUAAGGAUCAAAACGCCGUAGUUCGGCUAAAAGAUUUCCAAAAUAUCAGUGGGUUCAUUUUAAAACAAGAGCACUAAGGCUUUUCAUUAUCAACGGGAGAAAACUCAACCAAGACCAAC